UAGUGUCAGAGCCGCAGACUAAAUCAGAGCUCCCAAGGCUGAACCAAAGGAGAAGGACAUCACCUCAUCAGUAUGUCUCUGGAAAUUUCAGAUGACAUCUGUGGCAGUGGAAACUACACCGCAGAAAUGAGGCUGAAGAUGGGAACAAGUGUGGAGCCUGGUGAUGUGGUGCCAACCCGAGGGAACCUCAGAGUGAUUAUCAAUCUGAAGACAAACAACAGUCAGAUAAACCUUGGCGUCACCGUCUGUUGCCUGUCACCAACACGUCAGCUGGACUUCAACAACCCUACCUGCUGCUUUUUUUUCAGCAAUGCCUUCAGCAGCGGAGUGUGUUUCCUUCUGAAGGUGCAGACACUGUCACGGUCAAUCUUCGAAAUCGCAUAUCUUUUGGGCCGGUGUUGAAACAAGCAAAAUAUUCAACCUUCCCCCUGGAGAUAGAUCCAUCACAACUGGAUCUGGUUUUGGUCUUUGUCAGCCUGGUGAUUGGCUUCUCCCUCAUCUCUUUGUUGCUGCUGCUGGUGUGGCUAGCCUACCAUCGGCAGGCCAUCUGGCUUCUCCACUCUGCAGCUCCGUCGCAAGCCUGUUGCGGCUGCCUACGCCCGGGAGGCGACUUAUCUCACCGUGACCAAGGAGGAACUGCUGCCAAUUAUGCUGAUCAAGUCCCCCCCCCCAAAAUAGCUGCAAACAAUUACAUUAGUCAACAGACAGAGGGGCAGUCAAUCAUAUUAGGUGCAGAGCAGAAGCGGCCGGUCUCACUGCCCGGCGUAGGACAGAAUACACAAUGAGGUGCAAUCCAAUUCACACCUCCUCGCACAGGUGACACAGCUGUUGCAGUCAAAUUUCACACUUAACCAUGAAAAGUCUAUUAUCAUCUGCUGAAAAUAAACACCAGCCCUAAAUAGAAAAGCUUCUCUGAUCCCUUCUCUCACUGGGUGGAAAUCAAUAGGCCUGCCUAUAACACAUGGAUGGAUGGAUAACUUAGAAAUAAUAAUUUGAUAUGAUGUAUGCAUUUGUGGUUUAAAGUCGUUAUUGAGUUUCUUUGACAAAUC